UCAACCAGGAGCAGGCUUUGGUGCAGUCCCUGUGGGAUCUGUGCAACCUGGUUCCGGUUUAGUUAAUGGUACAGGUACUGAGUUUCAUCCGAGGCGUAUUGAUAGACAAAUUAGAAGAGGUAUGCUGUAAAUUUGGUACCUGGAGUAAUUUCAAGGCAUUCUCCAAGUACUUCAAAAAGUUUGAUUUUGGUGCACAUUCUGGAAACUAAAGAUUCUCAUAACAAGAAUCAUCUCAGAAUCCUACUUCAAAUCUACAUCAUUUACUCCCACCACACAAUUUAAACCAACCUGGCUAGCUAGUAGAGUGAAGGACAUGGCUGUUGGGCAAUCUGAGGUUGAGGCUACGGUGGAGAUGAAGGCGGGUGAGGAGGAGGAGGAGGAGCAGUGCCCUGUCAAACAAGUGGAGCUAACUGUGCCAAAAACAGAUGAUCCCAACAUGCCAGUUUUGACAUUUAGAAUGUGGGUUCUGGGUCUUGCUUCUUGUGUGAUAUUGGCAAUUGUGAAUCAGUUCUUCUGGUAUAGGACACAACCAAUGGUCAUCACCUCCAUUUCUGCACAGAUUGCUGUGGUGCCUUUGGGGCAUUUGAUGGCAAAAACACUGCCUAAGCGAAUGAUGUUUCAAGGGACUAAAUGGGAAUUCUCGUUGAAUCCAGGACCUUUCAACGUGAAAGAACAUGUUCUUAUCACUAUAUUUGCUAAUGCUGGAGCUGGAACUGUUUAUGCUACUCAUGUUCUCAGUGCUGUCAAGCUGUUUUAUAAAAGACAGCUCACUUUUGUUCCUGCCUUGCUUCUUAUGGUUACCACUCAGGUUCUGGGGUUUGGGUGGGCUGGAAUUUUCAGGAAAUAUCUAGUGGAGCCUGGAGAAAUGUGGUGGCCAAGCAAUCUGGUUCAAGUCUCAUUGUUCAGGGCUCUACAUGAGAAAGAGAAAAGACCAGCAGGAGGAUUGACUCGUAACCAUUUCUUCCUUAUAGCGCUUACCUGCAGCUUUGCUUACUAUGUAUUUCCAGGAUAUCUUUUCACCAUGUUAACAUCUGUCUCGUGGGUCUGUUGGCUGGCUCCCAAAACUGUUCUAGUUCAACAACUGGGUUCAGGCAUGCAAGGCCUUGGAAUUGGUGCUUUAGGUUUUGAUUGGUCUACAGUGGCUUCAUAUCUUGGUAGCCCACUUGCUAGUCCAUGGUUUGCCACUGCUAAUGUUGCUCUUGGAUUCUGUGCUAUAAUGUAUGUGGUGGUACCCAUCUGUUACUGGCUCAACAUCUACCAUGCCAAGACCUUCCCGUUAUAUUCUAAUGAUCUUUUUCAAGGAAAUGGUGAAGAAUAUGACAUUCGAAGCAUUGUAAAUUCCAAGUUUCAUCUUGAUAAGAAUACUUAUGCAAGUAUUGGGCCUGUACAUCUCAGUACGUUUUUUGCUUUGACCUAUGGAUUUGGAUUUGCAACGCUGCCAGCCACAAUUAUGCAUGUCCUCCUUUUCAAUGGAAGGUAAGCUCCAAAUCUAUGAAUGGCAACAAGGCAAUGUAGGGGGCAGAAAAGAUACUCCGUCCCCACCCGGAUCGGUUUCGGGAACGAUUAGCAUCCAUAUCCAAAUCUUCCCAUGUUACUUAGAAAGCAGAAAAGCCUUUUGCAGCACUUGCAAAGGUGUCACUAAUUUGUGUUUGCUUGCACUUGUUAAUUGCAGUGAAGUGUGGAAACAAAGCAAAAGAGCAUUUGGGGGAAAAAGCAAAAUGGAUAUACAUACAAGGCUUAUGUAGAAAUACAAAUCGGUUCCCUCAUGGUGGUUUCUUAUCAUUCUCAUCGUAAACAUUGCUGUUGUAAUCAUCACUUGUGAAUAUUACAAUGAGACGCUCCAAUUGCGUUGGUGGGGUGUUCUGCUAGCUUGUGCCAUUGCUCUUUUCUUCACUCUCCCAAUUGGGAUUAUUUAUGCCACCACAAACCAGGCACCAGGCUUGAACAUCAUUACAGAAUACAUCAUAGGUUACAUUUACCCUGAGCGCCCCGUUGCUAAUAUGUGCUUCAAGGUGUACGGAUAUAUUAGCAUGAUUCAAGCUCUAACCUUCAUACAGGACUUUAAGCUUGGCCACUACAUGAAGAUUCCACCUAGGUCCAUGUUCAUGGCACAGGUUGUAGGAUCACUUGUAUCUGUGUUUGUAUACCUACUAACUGCAUGGGGGAUGAUGGGGGCCAUCCCCAAUCUCUGUGAUAGAUCCAAGUUGCCUAAGGAUAGUCCAUGGAAAUGCCCAAUGGAUACAGUGUUCUUUGAUGCCUCUGUUAUAUGGGGGCUUGUUGGUCCCCGCAGAAUCUUUGGAAACCUUGGUGAAUACGGGAUGAUCAAUUGGUCCUUUGUUGGUGGAGCCAUAGCCCCUGUCUUCGUCUGGCUUGCCCACAAGGCUUUCCCAAGCAAGAAAUGGAUUCGUCUUAUCCACAUGCCUGUGCUGCUUGGUUCCACAUCAAUGAUGCCGCCAGCUACUGCUGUGAACUUCACUAGUUGGGUAACUCUUGGAUUCCUCUCUGGCUUCGUCUUUUACCGAUACCGUCCAAAUCUGUGGAAGCGCUAUAAUUACGUUCUCUCUGGUGGCCUUGAUGCCGGAACGGCCUUUAUGACAAUAUUGAUAUUCUUCAGUUUGAGUUACCAGAAAAUCAAUCUCGAAUGGUGGGGAAGCAGCUCAAAUAACCCAGAAGGGUGUCCUAUAGCUAGUUGUCCGACAGCCAAAGGUGUCCUUGUAGAUGGCUGCCCAGUUUUCUAAUCGAAGCAUCUUUAUCUCCAAAUCUAUUUUUAGCCUGUUCAGAGCAAUUAACUUUCUUUUCAAUCUGUAAAUAUUUUGCUGUGGAUGCUUUGGAUAAUAUCAGUGUUUCUUCUAGUGUGUAAAUCUAGUGAUUUAUUCUAAAUUUUAUUU
rnacentral:misc_RNA from 1 species